rnacentral:tRNA from 1 species
GGUUGUAGCUCAGUGGUAUAGCCCUUGCCUGGCACGUGUGAGGCCCUGGAUUCGAUCCUCAGCACCA